rnacentral:rRNA from 1 species
AGUGCGGGGUCUACCGUGCGGUCGAGCGGCAGCGACUUAACUGAACCUUCGGGGAACGUUGAGGGCGGCGAGCGGCGGACGGGUGAGUAAUGCCUGGGAAUAUGCCCUGAUGUGGGGGAUAACUAUUGGAAACGAUAGCUAAUACCGCAUAAUCUCUUCGGAGCAAAGAGGGGGACCUUCGGGCCUCUCGCGUCAGGAUUAGCCCAGGUGGGAUUAGCUUGUUGGUGAGGUAAUGGCUCACCAAGGCAACGAUCCCUAGCUGGUCUGAGAGGAUGAUCAGCCACACUGGAACUGAGACACGGUCCAGACUCCUACGGGAGGCAGCAGUGGGGAAUAUUGCACAAUGGGGGAAACCCUGAUGCAGCCAUGCCGCGUGUGUGAAGAAGGCCUUCGGGUUGUAAAGCACUUUCAGUAGGGAGGAAGGUAGUGUAGUUAACACCUGCAUUAUUUGACGUUACCUACAGGAGAAGCACCGGCUAACUCCGUGCCAGCAGCCGCGGUAAUACGGAGGGUGCGAGCGUUAAUCGGAAUUACUGGGCGUAAAGCGCAUGCAGGCGGCCUGUUAAGUCAGAUGUGAAAGCCCGGGGCUUAACCUCGGAAUUGCAUUUGAAACUGGCAGGCUAGAGUCUUGUAGAGGGGGGUAGAAUUUCAGGUGUAGCGGUGAAAUGCGUAGAGAUCUGAAGGAAUACCAGUGGCGAAGGCGGCCCCCUGGACAAAGACUGACGCUCAGAUGCGAAAGCGUGGGGAGCAAACAGGAUUAGAUACCCUGGUAGUCCACGCCGUAAACGAUGUCUACUUGGAGGUUGUGGCCUUGAGCCGUGGCUUUCGGAGCUAACGCGUUAAGUAGACCGCCUGGGGAGUACGGUCGCAAGAUUAAAACUCAAAUGAAUUGACGGGGGCCCGCACAAGCGGUGGAGCAUGUGGUUUAAUUCGAUGCAACGCGAAGAACCUUACCUACUCUUGACAUCCAGAGAAGCUUGAAGAGAUUCGAGUGUGCCUUCGGGAACUCUGAGACAGGUGCUGCAUGGCUGUCGUCAGCUCGUGUUGUGAAAUGUUGGGUUAAGUCCCGCAACGAGCGCAACCCUUAUCC